UCCCAUCUCACGUUUCUUUCAUCCUCCAUGGAAGCUUGUUUUGAAACCUCCAUAACUUCACUCAAGUUAACUCUAAUUUUCAUGCUUCUGUGCACUUUUUCAUAAAACCUUUUGUGCUCUUUCACUCUCUCACUUUAAAACCCUUAAAAAGUCUUACUUCCAUACUUCCUCUCACUAGUUAGGUGUUUUAGAGAGAGAAAGAAGGAGCUUCUAUAAUAGCGUGAAAAUUUUUGUAAAGGAAUUCAAUUACAAAGCUACCAAGGUGAGUAGUGAAUUAGAGUUGAUUUUUAAGUUGUUGAAAAUGGCUAGUGGAUAGAUUUGUGAAUGUUUUGUAGUUGAGGAUUAUUUAUUCAUCUUUAGUGUGAGUAGAAUACUGAAAGUAAAUAGCCGUUUAAUGGCAAUUGGAAGCUAGUUAGGAAUAACUAGUAGAACAUGAUUUAGGAGAUAACUUUUAAAAUUAUGGUUAUGUGAAUUAAGUUGAUUUGUGAUGCUAUUGUGUGUGAUAGGUUCCAACAAGACCCCACAUCUCCAUUCGGAGCAUUAGUGGAAGUUGGAGUUGAUCUAAGAUUUAAUAAAUACCGGUGAGUGAACUUGCAUUUUAAAAUGUUUUGGAAAGUGCCUACAUGUUUAAAUAAAUCAUUUGAAAGUUUCAUUUGUUUUUGCUUUAAAAAUAUACUUAGGGAAUAAGCCCUUGAUGAAAUGUUUCUAUGUUGUGAAAUGUGCAAUAUGAAUAGUUCAUGCAUUCUCACAUUAUAUUGAUAUGUAUAUUAUGCUUUGGAUGCUCCUUUUGUGUGAUAAUGUGGACCCAACUAUGUGCUGUGUGGGAGUGCACAUGAGUUGAUGAUGACCUAGCUAUGUGCGGUGUGAGAGUGCACAUGAGCUGAUGAUGAUGAUAUUGCAUUGUGCAUGUAGGGAGUGCACAUGAGCUGAGUGUGACGAGAUGGUAUGCAUGAUGAUGUAUGUAUAUAUAUGUGUGUGUGUGUGUUAUAGAAAGUUUAUGAAAAUAAUUGUGAUUGUGUUAUAUGUUGGUAUUGUUAAUUGCUCCCAAAUUGCUUUUCAUUUUAACAAGAAAAUGGCUUUUUGAUGUAACAAUACCCCUUUUAACUAAAUUGCUUUGUUUCUCACUGCAGCAAGUUUCAUUUUAGCUGUAGUGAGAAACUCUCGGGUGGUUCCAAAAUUCUGGUGCAGUGCUUUUACUUUGACAAAGAUUUUGACUACUUUUCGGUUAGAACUGGGCAAAGUGGUAAACAUCAGAGUUGUAUCCCAGCCUCUUAGCUUUCUAAUGACUAAAAAAUCAUAUCAAUUGGACUUCUGUAAUGGGAGAUAUGCUUGAAAAACCAAAGCAUAUGCAAACUAAGAAUGCCUUUUCGCUGCAGCGAGAAAACCCUCUGUUUGUUUGUCUUGCUUGGUCAUCGUUGAAAUUUUCAUUCUAUUCAACUUUAUGUUUCAUCAUGGGUUUUGUAACAUUAAGGGAUUAAACAUUCAAAGUUUGAAAUGAGGAGUUUUAACAAAAAAUUUAGACUAAAUUGCAUGGUUUAUCGUAAGUGCAUUAUGUUUUCUAAAACAUUCCUUGUCAUUGCUUGUUCCUUUCUUCUGUUCACUCACUGAGUUUAUACUCACUCUUUUAAAUUGUAUGUUUUCAGAUCCGUAGAUAGUUGGGACCGAGACUAAGGUGUCCACUUGCAUUCACUUUUGGUAGGUAUCAUGGCAUUCGAUAGCCGUACCCUCACCAAAGUCACUCCGCUGGUCAUCAAAAAUCUUUUGUAUGAGUACAUGUACAUUAAAUGUAAAUUGCUAGGAAUCACUUUGCUAACGAUGCAUGUAUAGUUUGGAAUGAUGGUGCCAUUAUGAAAUGGCUAUGAGUAACCUUAUUUUGAGAUCCUAAAAAAUGUAAAUUUUUGGUAUCUAUACUGUAUUAUGAAAACACGUCUAGUUGCAAAUUACAAAUGGUGGUCUAGUAAUGGUGAUGAAAAAUUGAUGGGAUAGUGAACAGGAUUACGUAAAGAGGCUUGG
rnacentral:lncRNA from 1 species